rnacentral:rRNA from 1 species
UACGUAGGGUGCAAGCGUUAAUCGGAAUUACUGGGCGUAAAGCGUGCGCAGGCGGUUUUGUAAGUCUGACGUGAAAUCCCCGGGCUCAACCUGGGAAUUGCGUUGGAGACUGCAAGGCUGGAGUCUGGCAGAGGGGGGUGGAAUUCCACGUGUAGCAGUGAAAUGCGUAGAGAUGUGGAGGAACACCGAUGGCGAAGGCAGCCCCCUGGGCCAAGACUGACGCUCAUGCACGAAAGCGUGGGGAGCAAACAGG